CAUCAAGAUAGUAAGGGCACAUGGUGGAUGCCUUGGCACCAAGAGGCGAUGAAGGACGUGAACGGCUGCGAUAAGCCACGGGGAAGCGCUGAAUAGCUAGUGAUCCGUGGAUUUCCUAAUGGGGGAACCCAGCGUUGUUAAACCGACGUUACUCCCGCCUGAAUAUAUAGGGCGGGUAGAGCCAAGCAGGGGAAGUGAAACAUCUCAGUACCCUGAGGAAAGUAAAUCAAACGAGACUCCCCAAGUAGUGGCGAGCGAACGGGGAAGAGCCCAAACCGAGGUAUGUGUAAGCGGUCAUGCGUUGCAUAUCCGGUGUUGUAGGGCAGUGAGUCCUGGUUGUGACCGACCAGGCUGGAGUUACAAAGUUCGUACAUAACCGAAGCGCUUGGAACUGCGCACCAUAGAGGGCAAUCGUCCCGUAGGUGAAAUGUAUGGAUCUCCAGUCGCUGUUCCUGAGUAAGUCCAUGCUCGUGAAACGUGGACUGAAUCUGGGGGGACCACCCUCCAAGGCUAAGUACUCCUUGGUGACCGAUAGCGCACUAGUACUGUGAAGGAAAGGUGAAAAGUACCCCGGGAGGGGAGUGAAAUAGUACCUGAAACCAUGUGCCUACAAGCGGUCGGAGCUCCUUUGGGGGUGACGGCGUGCUUUUUGCAUAACGAGCCAGCGAGUUGCUCGUCUGCGGCAAGGUUAAGCGAUGAGCGGAGCCGGAGCGAAAGCGAGUCCUAAUAGGGCGAUCAUCUAGUCGUAGGCGGCAGACCCGAAACUGAGUGAGCUACCCAUGGGCAGGUUGAAGCGAGGGUAAGACCUCGUGGAGGACCGAACGCACCUAGGUUGAAAACUGGGGCGAUGACCUGUGGGUCGGAGUGAAAGGCUAAUCAAACUCAGUGAUAUCUGGUUCUCUCCGAAAUAUAUUUAGGUAUAGCCUCGGAUAACAUGCGUUAUGGCCGUAGAGCACUGUUUGGGCGCGGGGUCUUACCAGAUUACCAAACUCAGGCAAACUCCGAAGACCAUUUACGUGUACUCCGGGAGUCAGUUGCUGGGGGAUAAACUUCAGCGUCAAAAGGGAAACAGCCCAGACCGCCAGCUAAGGUCCCUAAGUGUUAACUAAGUGGCAAACGAUGUUCGAGUGCACAGACAACCAGGAGGUUGGCUUAGAGGCAGCCACCCUUUAAAGAGUGCGUAAUAGCUCACUGGUCUAGUGCUCGAGCGCGGAUAAUGUAACGGGGCUCAAGUUAACCACCGAAGCUGCGGGUUCACACUUUUGUGUGAGCGGUAGGAGAGCGUUCGCUAUAGGUUGAAGCGGCAGCGGAAGCUCGCCGUGGACAGUAGUGAAGUGAGAAUGCUGGCAUGAGUAACGAAAGACAGGUGAGAAUCCUGUCCACCGAUUAUCUAAGGUUUCCUGGGCAACGUUCGUCGGCUCAGGGUUAGUCGGGACCUAAGGCGAGGCCGCAAGGCGUAGUCGAUGGCCAACAGGUUGAUAUUCCUGUACCACGUAGUAAUCGUUAUGACCGAUAGGGGGGACGAGGAAGGCUAGAGCAUCUCCGGCGUUGGUUGUCCGGGGACAAGCGUGUAGGAGGGACCGCGAUAAAUGCACGGUCCCAUUAAUCCGAGACGUGAUGUGAGGAGGCUUUCGAGCCUCCAACUGCUUGACGCCAUGCCUCCAAGAAAAGCCUCGUAGGCAGAUUACGCGUGCCCGUACCAAAACCGACACAGGUGGAUAAGUAGAGAAUACUAAGGUGAUCGAGAUAACCCUCGUUAAGGAACUCGGCAAAAUGGCUCCGUAACUUCGGGAUAAGGAGCGCCCUAUUAGAGUGAAGCCACUUGCUGGUGGAGCUCGAGGGGGCCGCAGUGAAAAGGUCCAAGCGACUGUUUACCAAAAACACAGGUCUCUGCUAAGUCGUAAGACGACGUAUAGGGGCUGACGCCUGCCCGGUGCCGGAAGGUUACGUGGAGAUGUUAGGUUCGCCGAAGCAUCGAAACUAAGCCCCGGUAAACGGCGGCCGUAACUAUAACGGUCCUAAGGUAGCGAAAUUCCUUGUCGGGUAAGUUCCGACCUGCACGAAUGGCGUAACGACUUGGACGCUGUCUCAACGAGGGGCUCGGUGAAAUUGCAGUCUCGGUG
rnacentral:rRNA from 1 species